rnacentral:rRNA from 2 species
ACUUACAGAUGGGCCCGCGGUGCAUUAGCUAGUUGGUGAGGUAACGGCUCACCAAGGCAACGAUGCAUAGCCGACCUGAGAGGGUGAUCGGCCACACUGGGACUGAGACACGGCCCAGACUCCUACGGGAGGCAGCAGUAGGGAAUCUUCCGCAAUGGACGAAAGUCUGACGGAGCAACGCCGCGUGAGUGAUGAAGGCUUUCGGGUCGUAAAACUCUGUUGUUAGGGAAGAACAAGUACUAUUGACGGUACCUAACCAGAAAGCCACGGCUAACUACGUGCCAGCAGCCGCGGUAAUACGUAGGUGGCAAGCGUUAUCCGGAAUUAUUGGGCGUAAAGCGCGCGCAGGCGGUUUCUUAAGUCUGAUGUGAAAGCCCACGGCUCAACCGUGGAGGGUCAUUGGAAACUGGGGAACUUGAGUGCAGAAGAGAAAAGCGGAAUUCAUGUAGCGGUGAAAUGCGUAUAGAU